GUAGGUGGCAAGCGUUGUCCGGAAUUAUUGGGCGUAAAGCGCGCGCAGGCGGUCCUUUAAGUCUGAUGUGAAAGCCCACGGCUCAACCGUGGAGGGUCAUUGGAAACUGGGGGACUUGAGUACAGAAGAGGAAAGCGGAAUUCCAAGUGUAGCGGUGAAAUGCGUAGAGAUUUGGAGGAACACCAGUGGCGAAGGCGGCUUUCUGGUCUGUAACUGACGCUGAGGCGCGAAAGCGCGGGGAGCAAACAGGAUUAGAUACCCUGGUAGUCCACGCCGUAAACGAUGAGUGCUAAGUGUUAGGGGGUUUCCCGCCCCCUUAGUGCUGCAGCUAACGCAUUAAGCACUCCGCCUGGGGAGUACGGCCGCAAGGCUG
rnacentral:rRNA from 1 species